CGCGGCACGGGUGAGUGCCCAGGUUCAUUCAUGCAGAGGGCAUUUAUUGGGUGACUGCAGUACUGCAAAAGGUUGCAAAGGAAAUGGAAGAUCUGGUCCCUGCAGGUUGGGAGUUUACAAUCUAAUUAGAAAUACAAGGCAUAUAUACGUGAAAAAACUAGAAUCCCCAGCUGUAAGCAAAAGGAUGGAGUAGGUGGGAGCAUUUUUUUCAUAAAGAGAGCUUUGUACCUGUAUGAUUGGUGAGGAGCAGGAGAGGCAAGUUCAGUACCAAUCAAG
rnacentral:lncRNA from 1 species